rnacentral:misc_RNA from 1 species
GCCGUCACUCCAGUGCUCAGGGCGCUUCGACUAUCACUCAGCAGAUCGUCAAAUCGCUGCUGUUGACCAAGGAAAAGACCUACGAGCGCAAGGUCAAGGAGGCGAUCCUUUCCUAUAAGAUCGAAAAAGCGCUGACCAAAGAUCAGCUUUUGACGAUCUACCUGAACGAGAUCUAUCUCGGUUUGAAUUCAUUCGGCGUAAAGGCCGCGGCGCGGGCCCAUUUUCACAAGGAGCUCGAUAAGAUCAACAUUGCCGAAGCGGCCUACCUGGCCGGCCUGCCGAAAAAACCCUCUGAGUUGGCCAACCCGGCCCGGCGCGGCGACGCGAUCGCCCGUCAGCGCUACGUGGUCAAUCAAAUGCUGAAAAAUCACAUGAUCUCGCAGCUUGAUGCAGAGGAGGCGAGGAAAUUCGAACUAAAGAUCUAUCCGGUUGAUGAACGCAACAUCUACCGCGCUCCGUACUUUGCCUCGCUCGUCAUGCGCGAGCUUCCGGAGAUCAUCUCGAAGAUCAACCGCAAAUGGACGCCGACCAGUCCGGGUGGAUAUACCGUCAAGACAACGGUCAACCUUAAAGCCUACGAUCUGGGCGUCCGAGCGCUGCAGCGCGGCCUGCGCGAAAUCGAUAAGCGCCGCGGCUGGCGUGGACCGCUGGUUCCGCCGAAGAAAGAAGAGGCCAAGACCGCCGACGGCGGCGCCAAUUUCGUGGCCGAGGAGAACGACGUGAUUAUCCCGGGGAAGAUCUACCCGGCCGUGAUCCGUGAAAUAAAAAAAGACACCGGCAUCGCCAAAAUCCUCGUCGACAAGACCGAGGGCAUCGUCGAACUGAAGAAGGCGACUUGGGCCAACCGCUUCCUGAUUAACGACGACAUCGAUAAAGUCGAAGGGAUUAACGUUAUUCAGAAGUUGAAAGUCGGCGAUGUAAU